rnacentral:misc_RNA from 1 species
GAUGAGAACGCAGCGAAAUGCGAUAAGUAAUGUGAAUUGCAGAAUUCAGUGAAUCAUCGAAUCGUUGAACGCACAUUGCGCCCGCCAGUAUUCUGGCGGGCAUGCCUGUCUGAGCGUCAUUUCAACCCUCAUGCCCCUAGGGCGUGGUGUUGGGGAUCGGCCAAAGCCCGCGAGGGACGGCCGGCCCCUAAAUCUAGUGGCGGACCCGUCGUGGCCUCCUCUGCGAAGUAGUGAUAUUCCGCAUCGGAGAGCGAUGAGCCCCUGCCGUUAAACCCCCAACUUUCCAAGGUUGACCUCAGAUCAGGUAGGAAUACCCGCUGAACUUAAGCAUAUCAAUAAGCGGAGGA